UGCCGAAAACCGGAAUUGAACCAGAGACUUUUAGAUAUUCAGUUUAACGCUUUCCCAAACUGAGCUAUUUGGGA